ACUGGCCAAGUACCCCUGACUGCAGCCCGCAGAUCGGGGCGUGCCUCAACGUGGGCGGAGCUCAACGUUGAGCUCCGCCCACGUCGAGCUAAACGUGGGCGGAGUUAAACGUUGAGCUCCGCCCGCAUAGCGCAGUUGAACCGCCGAAGAAGAAGAAGAAGAAGUUUCCAAAAUGGAGAGACACAUUACCAUACUUUUGGAUGGCGAUACACCAACCACAACAAAAUGCAGCAGCAGUGAACAUUUCCACUGUCCUUUCUGCAAAUAUGAGGGAGCUAAACAUAUGGUGGAGAACCAUAUUAAAGGCCAUUCCUCAGUAAAACACAGAGAAUUGACAAUUUUCAAGUGUGGCUUAAGUUGUCGGACAGCUGCACAUUUUCAUUGCUGCUAUUGUGCUGCAACAAUUAUUAAUAGAAGACAAUUUAUAAGACACUUAGAAAUACACCAAGAGGAUGAGCAUGCUGCAGCCCUAAAAGAACAAACAAAGACCCUCGCAGUGCCUCCUGUACAGCUCUCUGUGGCCCCCACUCAGCUCCCUGUGGCUCCUGCACAGCUCCCUGUGGCCCCCGCUCAGCUCCCUGUGGCUCCCGCUCAGCUCCCUGUGGCUCCCGCACAGCUCCCUGUGGCCCCCGCUCAGCUCCCUGUGGCUCCCGCUCAGCUCCCUGUGGCUCCCGCACAGCUCCCUGUGGCCCCUGCUCAGCUCCCAGUGGCCCCUGCUCAGCUCCCUGUGGCCCCUGCUCAGCUCCCUGUGGCCCCCGCUCAGCUCCCUGUGGCCCCCGCUCAGCUCCCAGUGGCUCCUGCACAGCUCCCUGUGGCCCCCGCUCAGCUCCCUGUGGCCCCCGCUCAGCUCCCUGUGGCUCAUGCACAGCUCCCUGUGGCCCCCGCUCAGCUCCCUGUGGCUCAUGCACAGCUCCCUGUGGCCCCCGCUCAGCUCCCAGUGGCCCCCGCUCAGCUCCCUGUGGCUCAUGCACAGCUCCCAGUGGCCCCCGCUCAGCUCCCUGUGGCUCAUGCACAGCUCCCUGUGGCCCCCGCUCAGCUCCCAGUGGCCCCCGCUCAGCUCCCUGUGGCUCAUGCACAGCUCCCAGUGGCCCCCGCUCAGCUCCCUGUGGCUCAUGCACAGCUCCCAGUGGCCCCCGCUCAGCUCCCUGUGGCUCAUGCACAGCUCCCUGUGGCCCCCGCUCAGCUCCCAGUGGCCCCUGCUCAGCUCCCAGUGGCUCCUGCACAGCUCCCUGUGGCUCAUGCACAGCUCCCAGUGGCCCCCGCUCAGCUCCCUGUGGCUCAUGCACAGCAUCCGGAUACCCCUCAAGCAUCUCGUCGCACAGUAUAUGGAAAACACAAGAAAGUCACUUGUCCUCACUGCAGCAUGAUGUUGAACAAGAAAAACUUCAAAACACACUGCAAAAGAAAACAUACCCACCACUUUGAGACGGUGUCGAAGGACAGAUUUUUGGCCUCUCAAUGUGUUGAUGUCAAAAAUGGUGUGUUUGCAGUUGAGAAAUCCUUUUGUGGUCCAGCAACACCCAUACAUGUCAUCAAGAAUACUUGGGGACCAACACACAAGGUCAUGUGUGAGGUCAACCAGUGCCGUCUGAACAGUGACUUUGCACAAAGAAGCGGGAUGUUGCCAUACGAGUGCCCCCAUAUACUGUCUUUAUUGUAUUGCCCACGUGCUGACAAUCAAAACGUGACUCUAACAGCUGAGGCGUUGAAAACAAUGGUGGACAAUAAAUGGUUUGGUGAGGAGCGUAAAGCCAGUCUCUUGCGUUUUCAGCAAAGUGCUGUUGCAGAGGGUGUGCCCCUGUCUGUGCAUCUGACUGUGGGUGGUCCACCUUCCAAAUUUCAUAUCUCUGUGUAUGAACCAAAGAUAACCUAUUACAGUAGGUUGGGAAGAGUGAUUGUGUCUUACGACACAAAACAGAACAACUGGCAUUGUCCCUGCUCUAAAGCAAGACACUCUUGCAUUCACAAAGCUGUUGCUAAAUGGCAUCUCUUUGUCACAAAGAGGGAGCUAUUCCGAAAGGUGAAGAGCACAGAGGAAGAGACACACAGUCCAACCGAGGCCACCACAGAUCAAAAUGCAAGUGAGAACAGUGUGGAGGACAGUUAUCCACCAGGUAACAGAAGUGUUGCAAGGAUGCUUAAUUACCUCCUCACAAAUAAAAAGCUCCCUGCAGAUCUGCCCCAAGCUCUCAUGGAGCAGUCAAGAGAGGGAAGAGCAAAGGACAGCUUUCCAAAGCACCUUAUCCCUAAAGAAACAAAAUGUGUAGAAUGUGAAUACACAAUUUGUGAACGACAACUCAUAACAUCCAAAGCCAAGAUCCUGACAAGCACGGGUGUAGUUGAAGGCAUAUCAACGUACAGGAAGACAUGCCUGAACUGUGGCAUGAUCUACAGAUACCAGGAGUGGGAGGAUGGUGUCCACAACUUUGACGACCACAUAAUCUUGUCUCUGCAUUUGUGCCUGAUGAUUAGGAAUGCAUUACAGACGCAUACAGCUAUCAGCAAAGUGAUAGAAAUAAUCGAAACAACGGAGAACGUGUCCUUUCCGAACAAGGAGAGAGUUCUCCAAGCCUACCUUCAUUUUGAGGCCCUUACAAACCAUGACUACAGUUACAGUUGUGUGUCAUGUGGCUAUAGCCCAGUGGUUGUUGUGAUGGAUCUUCACAAGAAAGGUGUUUUCAAUUUGCCAGUGAGUGAGAUCCAAAGCUUGCCUGAUGAUUAUGAUGGCCAUGUGGAUAUAGCAAAUUUCUGGGAUGCUGUGGCCAUGGAAAUGAUUAGUCGUGGUUUAAUUCCAUGUGGUCGAAAGAACCCUUUUGUUGUGUCCCCCAGUUAUCAUCACUGGGCCCCAUGGAUUGGCCCACACACCCGAAGAUCGAAUUCAGUUUUAAACACUGAAUUUGAAAAAAUGCAAGCUCCAAAAACGCCAAACAAUGGGGAUGAUGAUGAUGAAAUGAUUAAUGAAGAGCGGCUCACAGAUGAGCUUGUGAACUUGAAGGUAGAGGAGAUCAGGGCACUCUGUAAAAACUGUGGUGUGGAUGACAAAGGCUCAAAAGUGGAUCUUGUCAUGCGACUUUCUGAAAAAAUGUCAAAUAGAGUCACCUACAACAAGGUGUUUGAGAAAGUGUGGGCUGCCUCUGGUGGUUGGGCUGUAAUCACCUGUCCAUGUGGGGUUGUGUAUUCACUGAAGUUCAACCUCAGAGCAGAGAGUCCACGGGACUUUGUGGAUCUCUUGUUAUCGUGGAAAGACUUUCCCAAUGUUUCGGUGUAUGAUUAUGCCAGAGGGCUGGCAUUGCAUGCGAACCGCAGGCAGCCAGGAAUCUUUGCCCCUUUUCAAGGAAGGUUACUGGAUCCCACCCAAGACAACAUAAAGCAUGCCUCAGAGAGCAAGGUUCAUGUCAACUUGCCAUGGCUGAAAAACUCUAAGAUGCCAGCUGAUGAAAAUGGUCACCCUCUCACUGGGUCCUCGCAGCAUUUUGCUUUAAACGAUGUGUUCCAUCAAGGCAACAGCAAAGACCAGAGGGAGGUUCUGAGAAAGCUGGAGCUUGUGCCUGAGCUUGCUGGUCUUAUAAACAGCCAGUGUGUGGAGCAGCUGUUUUCUGGGAUGAGAAAGAACAAUUACUUUUUAAAUAUGACAACCCCAUCCACACACAUAUUUCUACAAAGAAAUAUACUUCAUCAUUACAACAUGGCAAAGAACAAAAGAGUCCGAGAACAGUAUAGCAAGAUUGUUCCCUCAGAUGUUGAAAUGCAAUGUGACAGCCAUGGAAGGCUAGUCUUAGCUGGAAUGCCAACGGGGUCAUCUGACAACAGCAAAGACCAAGAAGAAUGUCAAGAGUUAAUUGAUGGCAGUCAGCAGAGACCUCCUGGACACUUUACUAGUCUCCAUAACUUGUCAGCACACAGAGCAUGCUGGGGACAGAAGCUCAACGACAUCCAGGAACAACUGCUGUCAGAUGUCUUGGAUGAGACCAAAAGUCCCACUGAGUACCUUGCAAUGGUGAACAACAUCAUCCUGACUCGCUGUGACUUUUGGAGUCUUGGUUUGAGUCGAGACAUUGACGGGAUGAUCCUGAACUCUUGUCUUGAAGUCAUUGGGAAGAGAAUAGAGCACGUGUUUGCUGCCAACAGCCAUGUCAUUGCCACAUGGUUUCCACCAUCAUCCACAAACCCCAUGGAUCACCUGCUGGACAAUGCAGCCAGUCUCCAGUGGGUUCUGCUUCCGGUAUUUGUACCUGGACACUGGAUACUCUGUGCACAUUGCUCACAGCCUAUCUCCUGGACCUUGGAGGGAGCUUGGUGUGAAUGAUGUUCAGGGCCUAACACUCCAAAGAUCCUCCAACAACUGUGGCGUGUUUGUUUUGAUGUAUGCUCUGUACAUUGUAAUGGGGGCCAGUUGCGAUUUCAGUGAGGAAAACAUGCUGCAGAUUAGAAGAUGGUGGUGUCUUGUUCUCCUGCAGAACUUCCCCAUGCCAUCUGAAGAAGAGAGACUGCAGGAAAGAAAGAAGCGACAAGAGCAGAAAAAACUACAGGAUGUGGCUGAAGUCCCCCUGAAAAUGUUUAGGCUUUCAGAAUCUGCCACUGAAGCAUCAGAUCAGGCUGAGAACAGGACUGGGAACAGGAAACGGGGAGAAUCCUUUGGUCAGGGAUGCAAUGGCGGCAGCCCGGUGGUGUGGGACCAGAACGUUCAAGGGAAAAAUUUCCCUUCCCCAAGUUGUUACCAUGGCCAAGGAGCAACGCGUGAGGGCAGGGAACUCCUUUAUGUCUGUGAUGACCAGGAAGAAGAGGAGACCGCUGAUCUCAGAGAACCGUUCCUUUUUCUUUUUAGUCUGCAGGAAGACUAUGAGACAUUCUGUCAAGAAAUCAUUGACAGGAGAAACAUGAAGGUGUUUUGUGCUUUUGACAGAAAAGAAUAAAGUUGUGUUCAACGGUG